ACACGGACAUUGUCACGGCGGCGGCCAUGGUCACGGCCAUGGACACGGCCACGGCCACGGUCAUGGUGGUCAUGGCCAUGGUCAUGGUGGCCAUGGCCACUGUCCGUCGCCACCAUGCCCGCCACCACCGCAACUGUACUGCCAGCCACCACCUCCCACCACCCCUGCCUCCUCCGGUGAUCUACCCGAUAUACGUGCCUCGUCCUGUAUGUCCACCUCCUCCCUGCUUCCGUCGCUGUUAGCACCUUCGACCAGAUCUCAUGAUUCUAAGCCGCUACUUCUCUAAAGUCGUAUUACAGCUGAAGGCAGCUCUCGUCGUCUGUGCCUGCUGUUGGAUAAUUGCAAUCUACAGAUUGUGUCAUGAUGUGUGUGUGUAAAACAAGUCUACUACUAUGCGUCGUGGUUUUGUGUCAUGUGUGCUCAUAGUCAAGACCCAAUUCUUCUGUCGAACUUCAUUUUACUGGGUCAGAGCACAAGUGUCCUUGUCUAUCAUGGUUAACCAGCUACCGUCUCAUUGUAGUUUUGUGUUGCUGGAUAAUGUCAUUAUGGGAUUUCAAUUCCUUUUCUUCGGUGGGUUGAAGUAAUGGAUCUUAUUUAUGUGUAUAUAAUGUUGCGAUCUUACCAUAGAAGUGCGUAGUCAUAUUUUUCUUUUCUGAUUUUUCCCGUACAAGUUGUUGAAAAACCCUAAUCAACAACUCCUUUUUUCCCAA
rnacentral:lncRNA from 1 species